rnacentral:rRNA from 1 species
GCGUGAGGGAGGAGGCUCUUGGGUCGUAAACCUCUUUUCUCAGGGAAGAACAAAAUGACGGUACCUGAGGAAUAAGCAUCGGCUAACUCCGUGCCAGCAGCCGCGGUAAUACGGAGGAUGCAAGCGUUAUCCGGAAUGAUUGGGCGUAAAGCGUCCGCAGGUGGCAAUGUAAGUCUGCUGUUAAAGAGUCUAGCUCAACUAGAUAAGAGCAGUGGAAACUACAUAGCUAGAGUACGUUCGGGGCAGAGGGAAUUCCUGGUGUAGCGGUGAAAUGCGUAGAGAUCAGGAAGAACACCGGUGGCGAAGGCGCUCUGCUAGGCCGUAACUGACACUGAGGGACGAAAGCUAGGGGAGCGAAUGGGAUUAGAUACCCCAGUAGUCCUAGCCGUAAACGAUGGAUACUAGGCGUGGCUUGUAUCGACCCGAGCCGUGCCGUAGCUAACGCGUUAAGUAUCCCGCCUGGGGAGUACGCCGGCAACGGUGAAACUCAAAGGGAAUUGACGGGGGCCCGCACAAGCGGUGGAGUAUGUGGUUUAAUUCGAUGCAACGCGAAGAACCUUACCAAGGCUUGACAUGUCGCGAAUCCCGGUGAAAGCUGGGAGUGCCUUCGGGAGCGCGAACACAGGUGGUGCAUGGCUGUCGUCAGCUCGUGUCGUGAGAUGUUGGGUUAAGUCCCGCAACGAGCGCAACCCUCGUUUUUAGUUGCCAGCAUUAAGUUGGGCACUCUAGAGAGACUGCCGGUGACAAACCGGAGGAAGGUGGGGAUGACGUCAAGUCAGCAUGCCCCUUACGCCUUGGGCUACACACGUACUACAAUGCUCCGGACAGAGGGCAGCAAGCAUGCGAAUGCAAGCAAAUCCCGGAAACCGGAGCUCAGUUCAGAUCGCAGGCUGCAACUCGCCUGCGUGAAGGAGGAAUCGCUAGUAAUUGCAGGUCAGCAUACUGCAGUGAAUUCGUUCCCGGGCCUUGUACACACCGCCCGUCACACCAUGGAAGCUGGUAGUGCCCGAAGUCAUUACUCCAACCUUUCGGGGAGGAGGAUGCCUAAGGCAGGACUGGUGACUGGGGUGAAGUCGUAACAAGGUAGCCGUACCGGAAGGUGUGGCUGGAUCACCUCCU